GACGAACGCUGGCGGCGUGCCUAAUACAUGCAAGUCGAACGAAGCUUUUUUAACUGGUGCUUGCACCGACUUAAACAACUGAGUGGCGAACGGGUGAGUAACACGUGGGUAACCUGCCCCAAAGCGGGGGAUAACAUUUGGAAACAGAUGCUAAUACCGCAUAACCACAGAAACCACAUGGUUUCUGCGUCAAAGAUGGUUUCGGCUAUCACUUUGGGAUGGACCCGCGGCGUAUUAGCUAGUUGGUAAGGUAAUGGCUUACCAAGGCAAUGAGACGUAGCCGAACUGAGAAGUUGAUCGGCCACAUUGGGACUGAGACACGGCCCAAACUCCUACGGGAGGCAGCAGUAGGGAAUCUUCCACAAUGGACGAAAGUCUGAUGGAGCAACGCCGCGUGAGUGAAGAAGGUUUUCGGAUCGUAAAACUCUGUUGUCAGAGAAGAACGUGUGCGAGAGUAACUGUUCGUGCAGUGACGGUAUCUGGCCAGAAAGCCACGGCUAACUACGUGCCAGCCGCCGCGGUAA
rnacentral:rRNA from 1 species